ensembl:lncRNA
GCUGGCGCCCUCUGCAGGACCGGCUCGGGCUCUCCGGAACGGUCAGCCCGGCCCCUGCGUGCCCAAACAGGACUCGGUCUCACUGCAGGUGCGGCUGGUGGCCUGUACAGGACCAGCUCAGGCUCGCCGGACUGGUCACCCGGACCCCUGCGUGCCCCCACCGGACUCGGCCUCCUCCGCAGCUGCGGCUGGAGCAUGCUGAAGGAGCCGGUCCCGGUCGCCGGACCGCUCAGACCGGCCCGUGCGGGCCCGCACAGCACUCGGUCACACUAAAGCCGCAGCUGGCUCCCUCUGCACGACCGGCUCGGGCUCGCCAGACCGGUCAGACCGGCCCCUGGGGACCCCCACAACACUUGGUCACACUAAAGCCGCAGCUGGAGGCCUCUGCAGGACCGGCUCGGGCUUGCCAGACCGGUCGGCCCAGCCCCUGCGUGCCCCACAGGACUCGGUCUCACUGCAGGUGCGGCUGCAGGCCUCUGCAGGACCGGCUCGGGCUCUCCGGAACGGUCAGCCCGGCCCCUGCGUGCCCCCACCCGACUCGGCCUCCUCCGCAGCUGCGGCUGGAGCAUGCUGAAGGAGCCGGUCCCGGUCGCCGGACCGGUCGGAACGGCCCCUGCGGGCCCGCACAGCACUCGGUCACACUAAAGCCGCAGCUGGCGCCCUCUGCAGGACCGGCUCGGGCUCGCCAGACCGGUCGGACCGGCCCCUGGGACCCCCACAACACUUGCUCACACUAAAGCCGCAGCUGGAGGCCUCUGCAGGACCGGCUCGGGCUCUCCGGAACGGUCAGCCCGGCCCCUGCGUGCCCCACAGGACUCGGUCUCACUGCAGGUGCGGCUGGUGGCCUGUACAGGACCAGCUCAGGCUCGCCGGACUGGUCACCCGGACCCCUGCGUGCCCCCACCGGACUCGGCCUCCUCCGCAGCUGUGGCUGGAGCAUGCUGAAGGAGCCGGUCCUGGUCGCCGGACCGGUCAGACCGGCCCGUGCGGGCCCGCACAGCACUCGGUCACACUAAAGCCGCAGCGGGCUCCCUCUGCACGACCGGCUCGGGCUCGCCAGACCGGUCAGACCGGCCCCUGGGGACCCCCACAACACUUGGUCACACUAAAGCCGCAGCUGGAGGCCUCUGCAGGACCGGCUCGGGCUCUCCGGAACUGUCGGCCCGGCCCCUGUGUGCCCAACAGGACUCGGUCUCACUGCAGGUGCGGCUGGG